UUAGGAGCUUGUUCCUUUUUUUACUAGGUUUCCUUUCUUUCUUUCUUUCUUUCUUUCUUUCUUUAAUUAGCCUAAGUG
rnacentral:ribozyme from 12 species